rnacentral:rRNA from 1 species
GGAGCCUGAGAGACGGCUACCACAUCUAAGGAAGGCAGCAGGCGAGCUAAUUACCCAAUCCUGACACAGGGAGGUAGUGACAAGAAAUAACAAUACAGGGCGAAUGUCUUGUAAUUGGAAUGAUGGUGACCCAAACCCUCACCAGAGUAGCAAUUGGAGGGCAAGUCUGGUGCCAGCAGCCGCGGUAAUUCCAGCUCCAAUAGCGUAUAUUAAACUUGUUGCAGUUAAAAAGCUCGUAGUUGUAUUUUUGCGUUGACGGUUUGACCAUUUGGUUGGUUAUUUCGUUUUCGCUUUUGGGAAUUUCCCUUUUUACUUUGAGAAAAUUAGAGUGUUUCAAGCAGACUUUUGUCUUGAAUACUUCAGCAUGGAAUAAUAGAGUAGGACCUGG